rnacentral:rRNA from 1 species
UUGGAGGGCAAGUCUGGUGCCAGCAGCCGCGGUAAUUCCAGCUCCAAUAGCGUAUAUUAAAGUUGUUGCAGUUAAAAAGCUCGUAGUUGAAUUUCGGGGUCAGUAGGUUGGUCGUGCCACUGGUGUGCACUGGUCUCACUGAUUCCUCCUUCCUGAUGAACCGUAAUGCCAUUAAUUUGGUGUUGCGGGGAAUCUGGACUGUUACUUUGAAAAAAUUAGAGUGUUUAAAGCAGGCUAACGCUUGAAUACAUUAGCAUGGAAUAAUGAAAUAGGACGAUCGAUCCUAUUUUGUUGGUCUCUAGGAUUGACGUAAUGAUUAAUAGGGAUAGUUGGGGGCAUUAGUAUUCAAUUGUCAGAGGUGAAAUUCUUGGAUUUAUUGAAGACUAACUACUGCGAAAGCAUUUGCCAAGGAUGUUUUCAUUAAUCAAGAACGAAAGUUAGGGGAUCGAAGACGAUCAGAUACCGUCGUAGUCUUAACCAUAAACUAUGCCGACUAGGGAUCGGAUGAUGUUAAUUUUUUAAUGACUCAUUCGGCGCCUUACGGGAAA